rnacentral:rRNA from 1 species
UACAGAGGUCCCAAGCGUUGUUCGGAUUCACUGGGCGUAAAGGGUGCGUAGGUGGUGGGGUAAGUUUGAUGUGAAAUCUCCGGGCUUAACUCGGAAAGGUCAACUGAUACUGUGCGACUAGAGUGCGGAAGGGGCAACUGGAAUUCUCGGUGUAGCGGUGAAAUGCGUAGAUAUCGAGAGGAACACCUGCGGCGAAGGCGGGUUGCUGGGCCGACACUGACGCUGAUGCGCGAAAGCCAGGGGAGCGAACGGG